rnacentral:rRNA from 1 species
ACGUAAUAGAUACCCGGGUAGUCCACGCCCUAAACGAUGUCUACUAGUUGUCGGGUCUUAAUUGACUUGGUAAACGCAGCUAAACGCGUGAAAGUAGACCGCCUGGGGAGUACGGUCGCAAGAUUAAAACUCAAAGGAAUUGACGGGGACCCGCACAAGCGGUGGAUGAUGUGGAUUAAUUCGAUGCAACGCGAAAAACCUUACCUACCUUGACAUGGAAGGAAUCCCUGAGAGAUUGGGGAGUGCCCGAAAGGGAACCUUUACACAGGUGCUGCAUGGCUGUCGUCAGCUCGUGUCGUGAGAUGUUGGGUUAAGCCCCGCAACGAGCGCAACCCUUGUCAUUAGUUGCUACGAAAGGGCACUCUAAUGAGACUGCCGGUGACAAACCGGAGGAAGGUGGGGAUGACGUCAAGUCCUCAUGGCCCUUAUGGUAGGGCUUCACACGUCAUACAAUGGUACAUACAGAGGGCCGCCAACCCGCGAGGGGUAGCUAAUCCCAGAAAGUGUAUCGUAGUCCGGAUUGUAGUCUGCAACUCGACUGCAUGAAGUU